GGCUUACUAAUUACACCACUGUGUGAGAAACCAAGCCAAUGCAUCAAUACUAAUCCCUCAUCUACAACCGGAAGUUAGAAGUUCCUGUCUGCCACUGAGGGUCAUUACCCCUUGGAACAGCUUCCCACAGGACAUGCAUCCUAUAGGUAGAUGGGGAGGAGGAGAAGGAACACCUAUUUAUAAGAUGAAGAAGCCGAUGGUUAGUGUUGAUCAAGAAGAAGACAACCCAAGGACACCUUUAAGCUGAUUAUUGAUUCCACAGAGCCCAAAUUCUCCACUCCAUGGAGCAACACCCAGGUACUGGACACAUCCUCUACACCAUCUUCACAACCAAAUUAAAUGGACUAAGUGGCUGGAUCAUCUACUACAUUGGCUGGAGAAGGCUUUUUAAUCUAGCAGCCAAAAACAAAAUGAGCUUGGAUGACUAUGUGCAGAAGCUAGACACUUGUGUUUCAUUUUGGUUUUGUUCUGAACAGUCCUAGUUCAAUACUCAGCGCAUUAAAUAAGUCUCAACUGCCACAUUUUUUUUUGAGGGAAACACAUCAGUUUACACCUCAAGGAGGACAUCUUUCAAAUUCUCAGUGAGAAAAUGGGCAUGUCAUGGAAACCCAAUGGGAAAGAAAACACUGUGUCACUUAGGAUCUGAAAUAAAGAGAUGGAAAUAAGAAUAGAGGAAGACUGA
rnacentral:lncRNA from 1 species